CACGUGGGAACAUACCUUUGGUCUGGAACAACGCCGGGAAACUGGCGCUAAUACCGGAUACGCCCUUUUGGGAAAAGGCUUGCUGCCGAAGGAUUGGCCCGCGUUCGAUUAGCUAGUUGGUGAGGUAACGGCUCACCAAGGCGACGAUCGAUAGCUGGUCUGAGAGGAUGGCCAGCCACAUUGGGACUGAGACACGGCCCAAACUCCUACGGGAGGCAGGCAGUGGGGAAUAUUGGGACAAUGGGCGCAAGCCUGAUCCAGCCAUGCCGCGUGAGUGAUGACGGCCUUAGGGUUGUAAAG
rnacentral:rRNA from 1 species